AUGAGUGCAAGAGGAUCUACUUGCGUUGCUCGCCUUGGUUGCUCUAUUGGGUUCUCGAACUGGCUAAGGCCGAAGUAGAAGAGACUGACCCCAAUCUUGCUAUCAAGGGGGACAGGAUCAUACACGCCUACAAGCGCCCAAUGCGGUCAUUCCGUAAUUACAUUGUUGUGGUAAAGGACUUACUCUUAUUUUCUCCGUCGGAUUAGGAAUGUACAUGUGAAAACCUCUUGUAAU
rnacentral:lncRNA from 1 species